rnacentral:rRNA from 1 species
UACGUAGGAGGCAAGCGUUGUCCGGAAUUACUGGGCGUAAAGCGCACGCAGGUGGCUGAGUCAGUCGAUUGUGAAAGCCCUGGGCUUAACCUGGGAAUUGCAGUCGAUACUACUCAGCUAGAGUAUGGGAGAGGGCAGUGGAAUUCCCGGUGUAGCGGUGAAAUGCGUAGAUAUCGGGAGGAACAUCAGUGGCGAAGGCGGCUGCCUGGCCCAAUACUGACACUCAGGUGCGACAGCGUGGGGAGCAAACAGG